GAAUGAGGCUCGCACAGCAACGAAAACUGCUAAUUUCCGCUACCUUGGUUGAACUCCAAGGCUCACUCG
rnacentral:tRNA from 1 species